GCUUAGCUAGUCUUGUCUAUUAAAGCUUGACAUCUUUUGUGUAUUCAUCAAUCUACUCCAUCUCGUAAAUGAAAUAUCUGGGCCUGUUAGUUAUAUAAUAAUGUGAACCAACUUGGCUACUCUGCUUUCUCAAAUUUAACCUCUGCACUACAUUGUUUUCUAAUAUAUCAUCUCCUGUUCCCCCUCUGAUUUUGGGUUGCAGAUGUUGAGAAUUUAGAUGGUGAACAUAUUCCUUUCCCUGGAGACUUCUGUUAAGUCAUGCAAUAACUGAGUGUGAGCUGUUGUACUAGCCAAACAUUUACAAACAGGAGGAAAUUUUCAGUUCUUGCUUCAAAAUUUUAAUUGCACACUAGUGCACCAACUCAACACAAUUCAACCAAAUUUCAAGCCAACUAGUUAGGCUUGGCUGUAUGGAUCUUUUGCUCUAUUUGAUUACAUUUAGGGAAAUUUUUCUUUAAUAGUAUUAUUCAUGUGUCUUUUUGCUUUUAACGUUAUUCAUCUGGAGUAUAGUUUUUUCCUA
rnacentral:misc_RNA from 1 species